rnacentral:lncRNA from 1 species
ACAACUUGACAAUUUCCAUGAUUCAUAAGAUUUUAAGCAAGACCUUAUUUUUUACAAACUCAGGAUCUAUCGUGAUUUAUGAAAGCUAUGCAAAGACUUAAAAGUUCAUUUUCUACCUCCCUUUGCUUGAUUCAUAAGAAUUUGAGCAAGACUAUCUUUUUACAAAUUCAGGAACCAUCAUGAUUUAUGAAAGUUAUGCAAAGACUUAGAAGUCUUUGGAGUCCUUUUCUUUCUCCCUUUGCUUUUGAACUUGCAAUGAUGAUAUAAUUGAAACAAUCGGAGCGAUAAAGUUUCAACUUCGAACUAACAUUAGGCAGGCUGCAGGCGGCCCUAUCAAUCUUGGAUACCAUCACAAAAACAUUUCUCUGUACAAACGCAAUUUCCAACAACGAGUCAAACGUAAGCCUUGAAACACAAUCUUCACCAAGUCAAAUAAUCCAGAAAUUCUCGUUAAGCUUCUCUUGGAAAAAUUUGAGGCAUGAAAAGCAACAUUAAUUGUACAAAAAAGUCUAGCGAAAAAGUCUUAUGUUGUGGCUCGUGCAAUUUUUUGGUCUCGAACGAGUCUCAAAACCAUCAUAGUCGAUGUUGAUGUUGUUGUGCGGCUGACACAAUCAUCCAAUAAAUUUUGGUAUCAUUUGCUAUUGCGAUAUUGUUGUUUGUGGACGUUAACCACCCUUAUCCCUCACUACUUCCACAUAGUGGAAUCUCCAUUCGGAUUUUCGAGUCACCCUCACGUGGCACUUCCAUGGGGUUUUGCUACUAAAGAAAGCAAAUUAUCUUAUAAAUGUAGGAUUAGCUUGCAAGAAAAAAUUACACGGGAUGGUCUUAUUAGGACAAAUUUAAUAAAUAUAUGUAAUGUGUUUCAAAUAAUUGUUCUCUCUUUGGCAUGAUUGGAGAACUUAAUAUAUAUAUUUGUUGAGAUAUUAUUCGAUGAGAGUAGAGAUGACAUGGUACCUCUAUCCCACGUGAGUAUAUUUAUGCCUUUACUGACAAAAUAAUUUAAUUUAGAAAAGAAUUUUAUUGGUGACAACCACUAGAUGAAGGACGAUAAUUUGACAAAGGGGGAAAAAAAAUCUAACAGCUAGUUAUGGAGUUAUUUCUUUUUGGAGUAACUUUAAUAAUUAUUAGUUAAAAAAAAAUCCAAAAGGCUUAAGCAAUUUUUUUUUUUUGGGUCUAAAAUCUGAAUGAGUCUGAAUUUUUUUAAAAUCUAAAUGUAAAUCUUUUUUAAUAUCUGAAUGUAAAUAGUAUCUUGUUUGUUUGUAUAAAUAAAUAAAAAAAGUCUCAAACAUGAUUAAUUUAACAUUUAUGUCCUUACAAAUCAAAACAAAAAAAAAAGAAAUUAGAUUUUAUAAUUUAGGCAAUAAAUAUAUUUUAUAGAGAUAUUUUUGAAAUAUAAUAUUUACUUUUUAUUCGGAUCAUUUCUUAAUUAGAUAAAAAUUACAAAAAUUUAUUUGAAAAUCAUACCUAAAUUGAAAAAAAAAUUAAAAAAUAUAAAAUUAAUAAAAUUUCAGAGAUUUGACGUUUAAAAAAACUCCUAAAUAAGAAAAAGAAAUAAAAGAUUUUCCAUAUAGAUAAUAAUUGACUUUCCAAACACUUACACGACGUUAGGCCUAGAAGUCGAUGAAGGAUGAAUUGUGGCACACCUCAUGGCUCAUACAAGCGCCUAAUUAUUCUAGCGUUCUCUAAAUUUCGGGCUUCUUAAUUAAACAUUAUAUACACUUGAGUCCUGCCGCCACAAUUACGGAUUACCUAUUUCACAAGCGGGCAAUUUUGACAUCUGCACAUUUGAACUUGCAGUGGAAUAUGACCUGGAACUGGAAAUGCCAUAGUGCAAUUUUGCCCAUCUUUUCAGCAAAAUCAAUUUUUUGUGGCGUGAAGUGGUGCAUUAAGAAUGAUGGCUAUGCCAAUUGCCAAGUAUAUUCCUGACCAAGGCGGGCGGCCUACCCAUGGUAAUUGGCUAGCUAGCUAAUUUCAUUUUCAC